AGGGUUAUAGAAAGAAAAGAACAAAGUUGUAAUAAGUGGAUUGUAUUUGGAAGCUAAGUAAGAACAAAUGUAAUGUAAAUGUAAAACUGGGAUGAAUGCUUGUAAUAGUAUAGUUGUAUUUAUGUUUUUGAUACCUUCCUUUUACAAUUUGUGUAUGAAUGCUGUUCCUGGUUGGAAUCUCGCGCAUUGUAUGGAUUGUGAUGCCUUGGACG
rnacentral:lncRNA from 1 species